rnacentral:lncRNA from 1 species
GAUAGAAUAUGAUCCAUCCAAAUAUUGUCCUAGAAAAGAACAGUGGAACCAUCCUCAAUUGUGCAGUGUGCAAUUAAUUCCACAAAACAGGAUGCUAAGCCUAGGGAUGUCUUUCCACCAACAAGAACCAACUUCAAACGGUCAGCCACGUCUAGGAGGUCACUGCUGCUGCCGCCGAAGUGGAUGGUGGGGGAGCCGCCGGCCAGGGGAG